GACGAACGCUGGCGGCGUGCCUAACACAUGCAAGUCAACUUGACUGAAGGAGCAAUCUGACAGUAGAGUGGCGCAAGGGUGCGUAACGCGUAAGUAACUUGCCCAAGGUAAGGAAUAACGUCGAGAAAUCGGCGCUAAUACCUCAUAAUGCAGCGGAUCCGCAUGGAUAUGUUGUUAAAGGUUUACCGCCUUGGGAUAGGCUUGCGUCUGAUUAGCUAGUUGGUGUGGUAACGGCACACCAAGGCUACGAUCAGUAACUGGUCUGAGAGGAUGAUCAGUCACACUGGAACUGAGACACGGUCCAGACUCCUACGGGAGGCAGCAGUGAGGAAUAUUGGGCAAUGCUCGAAAGAGUGACCCAGCAACGCCGCCGUGGAGGAUGAAGGUAUUCUAUAUCGUAAACUCCUGUGAGAGCAGACGAAAGACAGAUUAUUAAUCUGGAUGACUGUAUGCUC
rnacentral:rRNA from 1 species